rnacentral:rRNA from 1 species
GACGAACCGUGCGAACGUUAUUCGGAAUCACUGGGCUUAAAGGGUGCGUAGGCGGGCUGUCAAGUCUGGGGUGAAAUCCCGCGGCUCAACCGUGGAACUGCCUCAGAUACUGAUGGCCUCGAGGAAGGUAGGGGCAUGCGGAACUGUAGGUGGAGCGGUGAAAUGCGUAGAUAUCGUCAGGAACGCCAAUGGUGAAGACAGGUAACUGGGCUAGUUUCUGACACUGAGGCACGAAGCGUGGAGCGAACGGG